rnacentral:rRNA from 1 species
GAUGAACGCUGGCGGCGUGCCUAAUACAUGCAAGUCGAGCGAACGGACGAGAAGCUUGCUUCUCUGAUGUUAUCGGCGGACGGGUGAGUAACACGUGGAUAACCUACCUAUAAGACUGGGAUAACUUCGGGAAACCGGAGCUAAUACCGGAUAAUAUUUUGAACCGCAUGGUUCAAAAGUGAAAGACGGUCUUGCUGUCACUUAUAGAUGGAUCCGCGCUGCAUUAGCUAGUUGGUAAGGUAACGGCUUACCAAGGCAACGAUGCAUAGCCGACCUGAGAGGGUGAUCGGCCACACUGGAACUGAGACACGGUCCAGACUCCGACGGGAGGCAGCAGUAGAGAAUCUUCCGCAAUGGGCGAAUGCCUGACGGAGCAACGCCGCGUGAGUGAUGAAGGUCUUCGGAUCGUAAAACUCUGUUAUUAGGGAAGAACAUAUGUGUAAGUACCUGUGCACAUCUUGACGGUACCUAAUCAGAAAGCCACGGCUAACUACGUG